rnacentral:rRNA from 1 species
CUAGGGGGGCUGCAGUGGGGAAUAUUGGACAAUGGGCGAAAGCCUGAUCCAGCCAUGCCGCGUGUGUGAAGAAGGCCUUCGGGUUGUAAAGCACUUUCAGUGGGGAAGAAAGCCUUGGGGCUAAUACCCUCGAGGAAGGACAUCACCCACAGAAGAAGCACCGGCUAACUCCGUGCCAGCAGCCGCGGUAAUACGGAGGGUGCGAGCGUUAAUCGGAAUUACUGGGCGUAAAGCGCGCGUAGGCGGUCUGAUAAGCCGGUUGUGAAAGCCCCGGGCUCAACCUGGGAACGGCAUCCGGAACUGUCAGGCUAGAGUGCAGGAGAGGAAGGUAGAAUUCCCGGUGUAGCGGUGAAAUGCGUAGAGAUCGGGAGGAAUACCAGUGGCGAAGGCGGCCUUCUGGACUGACACUGACGCUGAGGUGCGAAAGCGUGGGUAGCAAACAGGAUUAGAUACCCCGGUAGUC